GUGCGUGAGUUGGGGUUCUUAGAAUGACUUGUGUUCCUCCCUAACCCGUGUUGUUCAGUACUACUAUUGAGGGUUUUAACUUUGAUUCUAGGAUAGGAGACUCUGCCGUCAGAUGGCGUUGCCUUUUCUUCUCUCCCCAGUUUGCAGAGUUGGAUGUGACCUCAGCACUGGAUAAGGGGUAAGUGAUUCCUCCAUCCUGACCAGAAGGUAAUCUCUACUUGUCUUGUGCUGUGUGGAACAGGUUGCAGUGGAGAAGUGCAGUUGUCCGGGGCGCUGCAAGGACUCUAUUGAGGCAUUUGGUGGACGCUGCAGGAACCCACAGCCAGAGGUGGAUGCCAAGAUGCACUCCUUCCUCUGUCUGGCAAGCUCUGCUGACCCCUGAGGUUUUUCCCACGCUUGCAGAGGACGGAAAUGUACACCUGGUUGGAUCUACGAUGACCCAAAUGCAAUCUAGUAAGGUUUGGCCAAGUGUGGUGGGAAAGGAAGAUGUAGGCUCCUAAGCAAACUUCUGGAUUGGGGACACCAGCACCAGAUGCUCUUGCACUUCCUGACCUCCCUGGGUGGCAGCAUUGGAAGUGCCUGGACCCUUGGAAAGGGCUAAGUGAUUCCUUCAUCAUUACCAGAAUGUAGUUUGUGUUCAACAGAUGACGGUGGAGAACUGUGGCCUUCUGUUCAGUGCAAAAAGUCUACUGAGGAUCUAGGUGGAUAGAACAGGAACGCAGAGCAAUAGUUGGAUGCCAAGAUGCACAUCUUCCUCUGUCUGGCAAGCUCUGCUGACCCCUGAGGUCGUUUCCAUGCUUGCAGAGGUCCUAUCUGCUUGGUGUCGGUUGUGCCUUGUGUUCACUUGGCUUUCCAAGGGUGUUGUUGCCUUAUAAUAUUUUCCCAACCUGUUUCCAAGCAGGAGCUCCCCUUGGCCUCCGUGUCUCGCUCUGGCCAGGCAGAUGUGGUGUGCCAACGGUACACAGAGUCCAGACCCUGAGCAGAACAACUGAGGAGAGAGGCUGCCCUGGGUGAGACAGGAGAAGUGCCCCUUGGAGUGGGGGACGCCCCACUGGCGCUGCCUCUCGCAUCCACCGGCAGCACGUUCCUUCUCUCUCCUUGUUGCCCGGCGCUUUGCUGUCUCUCAGGGCUCACCAAGUCCAAAUGUUCCCUGAUGGAGUCCAACUCCAGCUUGACCAACACUCACCCGGUCUUGUCCCUGCACCAGCUGGCUUAGGGCUCCCCAGCAGUGCUGGCUGUCGGUGCCUUCUGUCGCUCCCAGUCAGCAUGGCUCUGUUCUUUGCUUUUUGGCUUCCAGAGCAUUUGCUACAGGUUAUGGAGUGUUUCUCUUCUCUCUCUUCUUGUCCUCCAUGUUGCCCGUUGGCGCCUCGGUGGAGUUUCAGUGACCCAAAUGCAGACUGCUCUGCGUUGCCCAAGCGUGAUGCCAAGAGAAGAGGUAGGCACCAGAACAGGCUGCUGGUGAGUGCUGUGCGUGAGUUGGGGUUCUUAGAAUGACUUGUGUUCCUCCCUAACCCGUGUUGUUCAGUACUACUAUUGAGGGUUUUAACUUUGAUUCUAGGAUAGGAGACUCUGCCGUCAGAUGGCGUUGCCUUUUCUUCUCUCCCCAGUUUGCAGAGUUGGAUGUGACCUCAGCACUGGAUAAGGGGUAAGUGAUUCCUCCAUCCUGACCAGAAGGUAAUCUCUACUUGUCUUGUGCUGUGUGGAACAGGUUGCAGUGGAGAAGUGCAGUUGUCCGGGGCGCUGCAAGGACUCUAUGGAGGCAUUUGGUGGACGCCGCAGGAACCCACAGCCAGAGGUGGAUGCCAAGAUGCACUCCUUCCUCUGUCUGGCAAGCUCUGCUGACCCCUGAGGUUUUUCCCACGCUUGCAGAGGUUGUAUGGGCUUGGUGUUGGUUGUUGCUUGUGCUCACCUUGCUGUCACCGGGUGUUCUUCCUUUGCCCAUCAUAGGGCUCCCCCGUUCUGGUGGGAUCUCUGUGCCUUCUGCUGAUCCCAGAGAACAUGGGUUCGUUCUCUUAUAUCCAGGUUCACUAUGUUUUCUUGCUGUUAUGUGAUGUUUGCCUUAGUUUUUUUAUUUUUUAUUUUUUUUCCGGGCUGCUUAUUGAUCCAUCCUGGGUCUGCAAUAAACCAAAUGAUUUCUGGUAAGGUUUGAGCAAGUGAG